rfam:Caenorhabditis elegans chromosome X
GGGCAAAAGUUAGGCAAGACUUUGGCAAAGCUUGAAUCCAAGUUUUGCCAAAGUUUUGCCCAACUUUUGCCC